rnacentral:rRNA from 1 species
AUUGAACGCUGGCGGCAGGCCUAACACAUGCAAGUCGAGCGAGCGGCGGAAGGGUGAGUAAUGUAUGGGGACUGCCCGAUAGAGGGGGAUAAAUACAGGAAACGGUGGCUAAUACAGCAUAAUAUAGGAUAAAACAUAUGGUAUUAGCUAGUAGGUGGGGUAAGGGCUCACCGAGGCGACGAUCACUAGCUGGUCGGAGAGGAUGAUCAGCCACCCUGGGACGCGGCCACGGCCCAGACUCCUACGGAGUCAGCAGUGGGGAAUAUUGCACAAUGGGCGCUAGCCUGAUUCCGCCAUGCCGCGUGUAUGAAGAAGGCCUUCGGGUUGUAAAGUACUUUCCGCGGGGAGGCGUUACCCGCAGAAGAAGCACCGGCUAACUCCGUGACAGCAGCCGCGGUAAUUC